GUCACUCAGAACUGUUUUAACCAUUUUUGUUUCAGAUUUUUAUCUGGUGAUCAUUACAGGCUCAAAACUCCAAAAGCUCUGCAGCUGCACUUUGGUUUUCACAAAAACACUCCCCCUUCACUUCUCAGAAAUGAUCAUUCAGAGAGAAAAUGGUGGUCUCAGACCACAAACACAUUUAUGUGCAUGUCCUUACCUACCUCCUAUCAUUGGUGACUACUACACUAUCAUCACGGUACAUCAAAAAUAAGAAGACUCAAAUACUGGUGGUCAAGGAGUUCUUCUACAGAAGAGCCGCACUUUGCAAACAUUGAACUGACAGUCUUCACACAUUCAACUUCCUCUUCUACUGCUGAUCAAAACACAACAUGUACUGUUAUUAUUCCUGUGCAGCACUUCAGAUAAGAGACUCUGUGAAAUGCAAAACACAUAAAAAUGAAAAUGCUAAAGCUUUCCACUCAUUUUAUGUGAUUUUAUAUCUACUUUAAGGCAGGAGUAGAGACAUUAAAAGCUACAAAUGUAUGAAUUUACCAACAGACACAGGAGAGGAAAGAACUGAUGUCACUAUGAGGAAGUGAUCAGGAAGUUGAUGCUGUAUUCAUCUCUGAGACUGUCUCAUUUGUGAACGUGAGAGCAAGAACAGAGACUGAGAGAGACAGAGAAGCACGAUGGCUGCAUUCACAUGGAUUCAAAUGUCUUCUUUACUGAUACUGAUGCUUCAGUUUAAAGGAACAGCUGAGCAAUAUUCACCUGUUUACGCUGUCAGAGCUGAACAUGAUGUUACUCUGCCUUGUAAAAAUUUGAUACAUGAUCAGCAUAAAUGUAAAAGUACUACCUGGCUGUUCAGUGAUUCAGGAAGCACAACAAUAAUCUUUGAAAAUGGGCAGAUUCACAAAGAUACCCAGACUAAAUCAGACAGACUGAAUGUUAAAAAGAAAAACUGUUCUCUGGUUAUAAAGAAGGUCUCAGUUGAGGAUGUUGGUCGUUACACCUGCAGACAGUUCAACAAAUCAGGACAACAACAAGGUCCAGACAUUCAGGCUGAUCUGACUGUUAUCAGCAUCACUGAACAUGAGAACCAUGGCGACGUCAUGUUGAACUGCUCUGUAUUUGCCUAUGGACACUGUGGGCACAAAGUGGAGUGGCUGUAUGAGGAUGAAAAGAAAAUAUCAGACAUGAAGAUCUCGGCAGGUCACUGCACUUCUACUGUGACAUUUACAAGAUCUGACCUGUCCAAGUUCUCUAAGCUGUUAAAGUGUCAUGUAACAGAUACUUCCACCAAAAAUGUGACAAUCUUUCCCUUCAAACCUCAAAAGUCUUCGGAUAAAGAUGCAAAUAAGACCAAAUCCACAAUGGCAUCAACUUCCACCACAACAGCAAAUUUAAUGCCAACACUGAAAACAUUAUCAUCAACAAUAUCAUCAAUAAAAUCAUCAAAAUUGUCGACAGCAGGAUCAUUAACAUCAAUGAACGUAAAGACGUCAGCAGUGACACCGGUGUAUCAGAAAGCAUCUGAAAGUAGGGACUUGAUUUUCUCUUCUUUUGAAGUCUUAGUUUUGAAUAUCAGGAUAAGUUGGUGGAGAAAUUCAUUAUCAUCGUUAACAUACUUUGCUACUCUUUCCAGAUCAGUUAUGGUUUAUUAUUGUUCCUGUGUGAUUAGCAGGACUGUUAAUAACUGCUGUCACCAGAUGGAAGAAAAAUACAGAAAACCAGAAACUACUGUCUGA
ensembl:lncRNA